UAGAAAUGCAGCACUGGUACGGGUACGGAUCCGACGCCUCUCGUAGGAUACUUAGGCUCUCCGUACCCUACUCCUACUCAAAACGUCCCCGACGUACAGAACGGUAACAUGUCUCUCCGCAUAUCUGAGCUUGGGUAUACGGGGAAACCCAACCCCUUGGGAGGAUGGAAGACAUGGCUAAUUUGAGAGGA
rnacentral:ribozyme from 1 species